UGAGGAAUCUUGCGCAAUGGGGGAAACCCUGACGCAGCAACGCCGCGUGAGUGAGGAAGGUCUUCGGAUCGUAAAGCUCUGUCGGGUGGAAAGAAGUGGGGAAAGGUGAACAGCCUUUCUCCUUGACGGUACCACCGAAGGAAGCACCGGCUAACUCCGUGCCAGCAGCCGCGGUAAUACGGAGGGUGCGAGCGUUGUUCGGAAUCAUUGGGCGUAAAGAGCGUGUAGGCGGCUUGGCAAGUCAGAUGUGAAAUCCCUGGGCUCAACCCAGGAAGUGCAUUUGAAACUGCCCUGCUGGAGUAUGGGAGAGGGAAGUGGAAUUCCUGGUGUAGAGGUGAAAUUCGUAGAUAUCAGGAGGAACACCCGUGGCGAAGGCGACUUCCUGGCCCAAUACUGACGCUGAGACGCGAGAGCGUGGGGAGCAAACAG
rnacentral:rRNA from 1 species